UUCUAGUCAAUGACUCAGCAGCUUUUCAUAAUCACGUUGGGCCUACAAACAUCUUUGCCGGGUGGUGGUGGCCUAUAUUUUAUAAAAGGCUUGGAAUUUGAAUGCUCAGUUCAGUGUUGCUAAGCCAUAGGUGCCCGUUCAGUUACGAUCUAAUCUAGAGAUCUAGGCCCUAUUUCUUGAAUUUAUUGGACAGCCUACCUGUUCGCCUUUGGUCUGAAAUCAUGGUUGUGAGAGUACAUAUUGUAUAUUGUGGUGCCUGAGGGUACAAACCCAGGUAUAAUGCUUUGCGGGAACAACUCUAUGAUGAGUUUACCCGCGACCAGAUUGAAGUUACUGGUGAGGGCACCCCAGGCGCCACCGGUUUCUUCGAGGUAACAGUUGCGGGAAAAUUAGUCUUCUCAAAGAAGAAUGGUGAUGGCUACCCCGAUAGACCUCAGAAGGUUAACAAAAUUGUGAAUGCCAUCCAGUCAGCCUUGUAGGCACCCUAUGCAGCUUGGCAUCUCAGGUCUGUUCACUUGAACAACAGCAGAGGAUGACGUCCGCAUAUGACUGUACUUGAUUAAAGACAAUAACUUUGUAAAGGUCAAGGUCACGAUUUUUCUCAGAUGGUCUUCUCUGCAUUGGUUUGACUGCUCAGGUGUGAUUGAUGUAAAGCUGCAGUACCUUUAUUUAUGACAGGAUCACUAUUGGUACAUCUUUGUAACUUAAAAUAGGGUUCUGUCCAAACGUUUCUUCUUUUAUUCUCAUGUCUAUGCAGUAGAAGUGUUGAUAUUAAUUUUUUUGGGGGGGGUAGUUUUUAAUACAAUCUUUUCAUAAUGGGGAAGAUUCUGUUCCAAAAUCUUAAAAGAUAAAAUUUGGUUUGGCUCAUGCUCUGCAUUAGAUAAACCUUCCACAAGAAAUUUUGAAGUUUUAUGAUUUAAAUAAAUGAUUAUAUGAACUAGCCAAAGUGCAAAAUGAAAAAGUGAAAUAUGAACAAGCAAAAGUGUAAUGAAAGACUUUAAUGAAGGCUUAUUUUUAGUAAAGCAGCCAUAGUAACAAAGUUAUGGCAGUGACCAUUUGAUUGAUACAUACAUGAUACAUAUUGUUGAGAAUUUCACUACUUUUUUUAAAUUAUUUUUUUUUCUCCAUUUUUAUUAGGUUUCUUAUUGAGUAAAGAGAUGUUCUUGUGGCUAAUUACAAUACUCUUCCGGCUAUUUUACCAUGCUCCUCGUUUUGUCACUAAAGAUUUUUUAAAAUGUCAGUGGACCUAGUUUUUUCUCUUUUGUAUUUCAAAAAAUUGAAUUCAACAUGGAAAUUCCCUUUUGUUAUUGCAUUGAGACUUCACAUGUGAACUGCUUUUCUAAUCAUGACAGUUCAUUAAAGAAUCUCUUUUGUCCAUCGGGUAGUUCAGAUUUUCCUAGGAAUAUUCUCUCCCUGCUUCUUUCAUUGAUCUCUUGUUUGUACUUUUAUGUUACCACAUUAUUGCAAUUGCAAUGCACAGUGCUAUUUACAUCUUUGUUGUUUCAGUUGUGUGAACGGUCAAGAGUAGUUCCUUUUUAUUUAACCAACUAGCAUAAUUUUUGUAAUUCUUGUGGACAAUAUCAGGGUAUCACUUGGAAAUUAUAGAAGGCACCGUGCACUUGAUUCCCAUAGAGAAAAUUUUAUCAUGACAUUUUGUGCACUUAGAUCCUAUUCUUGAUUUAGUGAGAGUUUUUGUGCCACGCCUUCAUUAGAUCUUUUAAAGUAAUGUAUUGAUGAUUUCUGUGGUGAUGCGAAACUUAUCAAACCAGGAAGUACGUUGAUUCUGACCAGGGGAAUUAAGUUUGUUACCUUAAAUUUGAUCCAGAAAAGCUUUGAAAAAGUUACAGCAUUAUUCCAUAAAUGAAGUUAGUUCCCCAAGAAAGGGUUUUUUCUAGAAUAUAAAAUACCCUGAUUUGUGUGAAGGAAUAUGGAUGUGUGUCUUUAAUGAGUGAGACACUUUCUCUUCUUUGUUUUGUAACUGCAAUAGUGCUCCUUUUCUUUUGCGUUGUGAAGAAAGAUUGCCUCAACUGUUGUUGUUUUUUCUUGGAGAAAGUUAUUGUACAAGUACUGAAAGUACUCAUGUCUAGAUCACUGACAAUGGAAGGGGGUUUAUGUGUGAGUGGGAAGAAGACAUGUGGAUGUAUGUGUGGAAUAUUGAUGGAUAGUAUCAGAAAAGGAAGAAUGGAUCAAAUAUUAUUUGUUUGAAGAAACAGCUUUUGUGUUUGAGUUAGUGAAAAAGAAAAAUCAUCUGUGUCUUUCGAUUUAUAUGUCAACAAUUAUUUUUAGAUUGACCAGUUCAGUCAUGAUUAAGGUAAAAUGUUGGGUCUGAGAUCUAUGAGUACCAAGUCUUUGGUCAGUCCUGGUAAAGCUUGUUUUUAUGUUUUGUUUUUCAUUGAAAUUUAUGUUCUCCCAUCACUCACCAUUUAUCCUCACAUUGUCAAUAAAGGCGUGAAAAAAAUGUUGACAACCAUG